rnacentral:tRNA from 1 species
UGGGGCCAUAGCUCAGUUGGUAGAGCACCUGCAUGGCAUGCAGGGGGUCAGGAGUUCGAGUCUCCUUGGCUCCAU